rnacentral:rRNA from 1 species
UAGCUUGCUACUGGAUUCAGCGGCGGACGGGUGAGUAAUGCUUAGGAAUCUGCCUAUUAGUGGGGGACAACGUUCCGAAAGGGGCGCUAAUACCGCAUACGUCCUACGGGAGAAAGCAGGGGACCUUUGGGCCUUGCGCUAAUAGAUGAGCCUAAGUCGGAUUAGCUAGUUGGUAGGGUAAAGGCCUACCAAGGCGACGAUCUGUAGCGG